rnacentral:rRNA from 1 species
CAGUAGCCGCGGGAAUACGUAAGUGGCAAGCGUCGUCCGGAAUUAUUGGGCGUAAAGGGCUCGCAGGCGGUUUCUUAAGUCUGAUGUGAAAGCCCCCGGCUCAACCGGGGAGGGUCAUUGGAAACUGGGAAACUUGAGUGCAGAAGAGGAGAGUGGAAUUCCACGUGUAGCGGUGAAAUGCGUAGAGAUGUGGAGGAACACCAGUGGCGAAGGCGACUCUCUGGUCUGUAACUGACGCUGAGGAGCGAAAGCGUGGGGAGCGAACAGGAUUAGAUACCCCCGUAGUCCCUGUCUCUUAUAC